rnacentral:lncRNA from 1 species
AUGAAUUAAACAGCCAUGGAUGAAACUACUUUCGUCCAAGCUUUGAAGAUUAAUAGGUGAGUGGUUUUUGCUCGGUUUUUAAUUAUUUCUAUGUUUUUGAGCUCGUUGCAGCUUAAUCUAGCUAACUCGUACCUUCAUUUUCGAAACUUCUAUAGAUUUUGAAUGAUGCCAUUGUUUAAUGCUUGGUUUUUUAGAUGUUUUAUGAUAGAUUAUUAAUGUUUGAAGCUAGAUUAACAAGUUUUAUAAAGUGAUUUUUGACAAAAAUGUCAAUUAAGGACUAAAUUGAGAAAAGUGUAAAAUUCAUGGUUAGAUGUGUUAAUAAAAAAAAUAUGGGCUUCUAUAAAGUUUUAUUAAAUUCGGCUAGGCUUGGGUUUGGCCAAAAUUGAAUUAAUUUCAUUUUUACGAUAUUAGGGACUAAAUUGGAAAAAUGUAAAAUAUUAGGGGCAAAAGCGUAAUUUUGCCCAAAUAUGUAUUAUAUGUUAAAUUGAAUAAUUUGGAGGUUAAUAUAUUGAAUUUUAUAUUAUAUCUAGAUCAAAAUAAUCAAUUACCGAAACUAGAUCUGGGAAAACGAAAAGUGGACGAAUAGCCAAUAGUUUUAUUCGAGCAACUCGAGGUAAGUUCGUAACUUUUCUAUACUUGUAUUUGUUGAAAUGAAUGUAUAUAAUUGAAAUACUUAAAAUAUGAAUGCAUUGAUGAUAUUUUGUAUUCGUUACCAAGCCCCGUUUAAACUAUAUGAAUUCAUUGGAUACGAGUGACAUGUUACUAGGAUUACCGUAUUGGUCGAGCUCCUACAUUUGUUGCGGACUCACCACAGCUCGUAUGAGCUUACUAAUUCAGAUCGUAAGAGCUUACUGUUUCAGCUCAUCGGAGCUUAUCGAUUCAGCUUGAAAGAGCUUACUGUUUAGCUCUAUAAAGCUUACCAUUUUCAACUCAAUAGAGCUUACUGUUUAUCAACUCAAGAGGAGCUUACCGACCAUGAAUCGAAAGAGCAUGUAUGAUGAUGAAUUGACAGAUUACUAACAUUGUUCACUCGACUAUCCUUUGAAGUUCUAAUAGGUUCAACGGGCUUGAAUACUGUUUAUACGGAUAAGUUACGAGUUAUAAGUGAUGUUAAUGUUAUGUAUGAUAUAUGAAUUACAUGGUAU